rnacentral:tRNA from 1 species
GCGGGUGUGGCGGAACUGGCAGACGCGCUAGGUUCAGGGUCUAGUGGGCGACCGUGGGGGUUCGAAUCCCUUCACCCGCACCA